GCGAUGUGCUCAAGUAAGCAGUAAGCAACCCGCUGCCAUUGUCCUGGACAAAAUGCAAAGCUGUUUUCGGCAUUUACUAUUGCAAAUAUUAAGGCUCUUUUAAUGCAAGAGAAAGAAAACCAGCUACAACCACCUAAAAUCAAAUGGGGAGUUUCAUGGUGCACAUCCACAAAGUGGACAUGUCAGGACAGGGGAACAUCUGGAUCACAAGAAUGCCGGUUCCCAAAGACAAUAAGGAUGGUUUCCAGCCUCUACUAUUUCUGCACUGCGAAGCCAUCAUCUCCAUUUCAGACUUUCCCACUAAGCAGGAAAUACAAUUGCCAACAGCAGCUAGCUUCGUACCUCAAAGCAACACCAGAAAGAAGAAGCAUUUCCAUCGAGGGAAGGAGUGAGUGUAAGGAGUAUUUCCCCCAAAAGGUAAGAUUGCUUUCUCAGAAUAUGGGAGGAGCUGAGUAGGGCAUGAUAAAUGUCUUCUCUGGAGAGGCUCUUAACAAAAAGCAAAAAUAUCAUCAGUAAGAAAUUCUGGUGAAAAUUAUUAGUAUGGAUAAAGACUCCUGGGGGUGGGCGGGCUAAAGAAAGAAGACAGAAUGAUGAAAAACAGAAAUCAGUGACAAAGGCAGAUUUCCAUAGCAAAAAUUAUAGAAUGUGAAACAAGGUGGACCCUUUGUCCCAGCUCCUCCUCCUUACCACCUGUAGGACUCUGUAGAAGCAUGCAGAGACGCAGCUGAAUGCUAGUCCGUUUGUUUUGUUAUGUUUUGUUUUUAAAUCCCUUUACCACAUCCGUAAUCCAGUUCAUAGAGCAAUCUUCAAUCCUUCAUGCUUUUAUAUCUUCCUAGAUAACAGGUAACUUCUUUGGAAUAAGGCAAGGUAUAAACAUGAAAACAAAUAAAUAUUUUUGGUGAAGUCUAAUUCAGCUUCGUGUUGUUCCCAGUAGAGUAAUUAAGAUAUAUUAUUUUCCUAUUUAACUAAUAUGGAAAUUAAAGGACAAAAUGUUUAAACAGUAUGCCCUGACAGUAGAUGAGUCAUAGCAGAAACUGUGAUUCCUUGCAGUCAUCUGAACUUUUCUGCCUAACCACCAGUCACAAAUUAUUUUGGGUCCCUGGUGGGAACCUCAAAUCAGCUAUACCCAGGGCAUCAAACCAAGCAGCAGUUACUAGGUCUGAGAGAGAAGAGAGCAGAGAGAAAAUCAGUCUGAUAAGCCCUUACAUGAGUCAGUAAGAUUGAGACCACGAUUUCUUGAAUUGUAAGUGAAGAAACUGGGCUAAAAAAUUCCCAAGUCCUUCCAGAGAAGUGCUGUAACGCCGUCUCUGAGCUAGUGCGUUUCAGAAAAAGUUGGUCCUAUUAGGUUUUGUGUAGCUACCCUACUAGAUAUCAGAGAGACUGACACCUGCAGUGACUUCAGAGGAAAGCAGAGGCAGCACUGCCAAAGAGGCCGUGACUACCCAACCGAGAGAGAUGUGUUACGAUUUACUCAACUGUUUAUUUGCCAGGCCUUUAAUCUGAAAAUGAUGGCCUGGCUUUCAUAAAACCAUGCAAAAAUCUGCUAUAGAAUGUCCCUACGCCUCAAUUCUGGCUUCGAGCCUGGCAGUGGGGGAGGGCAAGUAUAUGCUUCCACAAAAGGACAAAAGACUCCACCAUCCCUUAGAAUUGUUCGGCUGCUUUUUUUAGUUUGUUUUAUUCUUGGCUUGCUUGUUUGCAUGGGUGGUUACAAAAUCUUUAAAAAGUGAAAAAGAGUGCAGAAUUUUCAGUACCCUGACUCAAGGAUGCAGUCCACUAGCCUAUUCACAGUUUGCAUCUCUGACCUUCACAGACUGAUUUUCUCUUCUUUACUCCUUUUGUAUUGAAUGUGUGCUGUAAACUCACAUUGCUUGAGUAUGUACACAAUGUCUCCACUAUAUUUCUAAUCCUGCAUGGAACGGAUUAAACUAUCAGCAUUCUCUCACCUGUGCACUUUUCCCUUACCAAGAAUUUAAAAAAAAAACAACUGUUUAUAAGUUUAGACUAACAAGAGCUGAGAGAGCCUGAGUCAUAAAAAUGAUAAUUAUAACCAAUCUUCCAAGUAUUAUUACCAUCACUACUAUUAGAAAACAAAAAUACAUCUCUUCUUAAUUUUAUUAAAGCCUUCCUUAAUCUUUUGCAUCUGAUAUCUCUCCCAAAGAAAGAGAAGAACAAAGAAGCAUAAAGAUUGAUUACUGCUUCUCCUGCUGAGCUCACCAUGAGAUCUCAUUGUGCAUUCAUGCCUUGAGAAGACAGUGCUGCCGAAC
rnacentral:lncRNA from 1 species